rnacentral:lncRNA from 1 species
GUGGGUCUCAACCCUUUCUCUCCCAUCCAGGUGGAAUCCUUUGAAGGCUGGAUCCGAGGGGGGAGCCCCACGCCCUGGGAGCAGCUCCAGAGGUUUAGGAAGCUGAAGGAUGCUCAGGAUGCCCUGGAGCGGGCGUACCUGCGAGCCCGGCACCAGCACCCGGGGGGCUCGGGGGACUUCGAUCCCGACCGGGCGGUAGAAGGGGAGAUCUUCCACCUGGGACUGCGCCUGGAGGAGCUGAAGGAACGGCUGGAGCCCGGGGUUGGGGGGCAGCCCCCCCCGCAGCCCCCAUCCCCACCGUCCCCUUCCCCACCACCAGCCCCCCGCUCCCCACACCCCGAGGUGAGCUGGGCAAGGCUGCGGGGGGGGGGGAGGGGGGGGAUGGAGCUGGGGGGUGUGAAGAUGCUGGGUGGGGGCACCCUGCUGCAGCUGGGGUGGGGGUCAGCCUUCUCUGACCCCCACCCUCCCCACCCCCCCUUUUGCUGUGCCCUGCAGACCGCCACGCUGACGGAGGGUCCCCAGGGGACGGCGGGGGACAGCGAGGUGGGGACGGGGGGGUUGCCCCGGCGCCUCUGGCACAAGCAGCUCCGAGUGGAGGAGGAUUUCGAGGACCUUCUGGCCCAGUACAAGCAUUUCAAGUCCUUGCCGGAGUCGCUGAGCCUGGAGCAGCUGAGCCUGGUGGAGAGUGGGUCCCAGGAGGAGGUGGAUGGACCUGCAGCAGGGGACAGUGGCCCCAGCAAGGUCCCCUGUAGGACACGGUCACUAGAAGAGGAGGCUGACCUCGUGUCCUCCCCCCUGUAAGUGUUGUGGGAGGACAUGGGAGCUUCACAUGAGCUUCAUACGAGCUUCAUACGAGCUUCAUAGGAGCUUCAACAAGGCCAAGUGCCAGGUCCUACACUUGGGC